rnacentral:rRNA from 1 species
AUGAACGCUGGCGGCAUGCCUUACACAUGCAAGUCGAACGGCAGCAUGACCUAGCUUGCUAGGUUGAUGGCGAGUGGCGAACGGGUGAGUAAUGCAUCGGAACGUGCCUUUUAGUGGGGGAUAACGUAGCGAAAGUUACGCUAAUACCGCAUAUUCUCUGAGGAGGAAAGCAGGGGACCUUCGGGCCUUGCGCUAGAAGAGCGGCCGAUGUCGGAUUAGCUAGUUGGUGAGGUAAAGGCUCACCAAGGCAACGAUCCGUAGCGGGUCUGAGAGGAUGAUCCGCCAAACGGGGACUGAGACACGGCCCAGACUCCUACGGGAGGCAGCAGUGGGGAAUUUUGGACAAUGGGCGCAAGCCUGAUCCAGCCAUGCCGCGUGAGUGAAGAAGGCCUUCGGGUUGUAAAGCUCUUUCGGCUGGGAAGAAAUCGCACCCUCUAAUACAGGGUGUGGAUGACGGUACCAGCAUAAGAAGCACCGGCUAACUACGUG